rnacentral:rRNA from 1 species
CCUACGGGAGGCAGCAGUGGGGAAUCUUGCGCAAUGGACGAAAGUCUGAUGCAGCAACGCCGCGUGGAGGAUGACACAUUUCGGUGCGUAAACUCCUUUUAUAUGGGAAGAUAAUGACGGUACCAUAUGAAUAAGCACCAGCUGACUCCGUGCCAGCAGCCGCGGUAAUA